GUGGUCCUCAAACAGAAACAACUGAUUUGGGAUUUUACUUUCAGGAUGCUCUUGGCCUUCUCCCGGAGGAUUGUGGGUAGAUAGCCGACGAUCCCGAGAAGAACCAGCGAAGUGAGACCCUUCAAACUUUCUGUGCCAUUCCCGAAUUCUGUUUUCCCCCCAAACAAAGAUUUAUACAUAUUUAUGCGAGCCGAUCGACGGGAAGGUGGUCCGGAGGAGGGGAGGAGAAGCGGCGGAACUGCAGAGAAUCGUCCUUCAGCGACUGUCCCGCUCGGUUUGUUUGGAGUCGAACUGUCACCCAUCUCACGCUGCGAUGACCUUGGGCACAGCGACACGGGCGAGUUCUGAAGCUUCGAUUUGACACGUCAAGAUGUUGCGGUAAUGCGAGAUAAUUUUGGGUUUUUUGCCCUCCUCGGAGCAAACUGAAGUAAGGAAAUGUGGCAGAGUCCUUCUCCAGAGAUUACAGGCUACUUGAAGGACUCGGAGGGACAAAGCAUGUACACAUUGCAGCGCUAUUCACCCCAGCCAGCUGGAUUGCCUGAAAAAAAGGGGGGAAGAAAAAAAAAACCUUGUGAAAAGAAAUCCUCAACAAUGGACACAGAAGAAGUGCACAAUGCUAACAGUUUUCCAAAUACCACUGAUUGCUUUAACCACAAUGAGGGAAAGCAGGCGCUUUUUGCUGAGCUCCACUUCAACAAACAACAGGCUCACAAAGGCCUCCCAACUCAGGUUUUGUUGGGAGACAAAACCUCCUCGACCGUCUAAAUGCUCCUACUGAAGGGACGCAAAGUUCUUUCAGUUAGUGCCCCCUUUUUAAAAAAGUGGAGGGAGAAAAGAGAGCUGAGAAAAUAAAAAAAAGAGGAAAAUGGUCACUGGGCUGGUAAUGUGCGCUCUUUUUGUGGAGCGACGACCUUUUCAGGCAUUUCAGUGUAACAUAGAGACCAAUUCAGAAACAAA